UGGCUCAGAACGAACGCUGGCGGCAUGCUUUACACAUGCAAGUCGAACGGUAACAGGCCUUCGGGCGCUGACGAGUGGCGAACGGGUGAGUAAUGCAUCGGAACGUGCCCAGUCGUGGGGGAUAACGCAGCGAAAGCUGUGCUAAUACCGCAUACGAUCUGCGGAUGAAAGCGGGGGACCUUCGGGCCUCGCGCGAUUGGAGCGGCCGAUAUCAGAUUAGCUAGUUGGUGAGGUAAAGGCUCACAAGGGAGACGAUCUGUAGCUGGUCUGAGAGGACGACCAGCCACAUUGGUCUUCAGACACGGGAUNGACUCCUACGGGAGUCAGAAGGGGGGAA
rnacentral:rRNA from 1 species